rnacentral:rRNA from 1 species
GACGAACGCUGGCAGCGUGCUUAACACAUGCAAGUCGAACGAAGAGCGAUGGAAGCUUGCUUCUAUCAAUCUUAGUGGCGAACGGGUGAGUAACGCGUAAUCAACCUGCCCUUCAGAGGGGGACAACAGUUGGAAACGACUGCUAAUACCGCAUACGAUUUGACCUUGGCAUCGAGGAUGAAUGAAAGGUGGCCUCUAUUUAUAAGCUAUCACUGAAGGAGGGGAUUGCGUCUGAUUAGCUAGUUGGAGGGGUAACGGCCCACCAAGGCGAUGAUCAGUAGCCGGUCUGAGAGGAUGAACGGCCACAUUGGGACUGAGACACGGCCCAG